GACGAACGCUGGCGGCGUGCUUAACACAUGCAAGUCGAACGGAAAGGCCCUGCUUUUGUGGGGUGCUCGAGUGGCGAACGGGUGAGUAACACGUGAGUAACCUGCCCUUGACUUUGGGAUAACUUCAGGAAACUGGGGCUAAUACCGGAUAGGAGCUCCUGCUGCAUGGUGGGGGUUGGAAAGUUUCGGCGGUUGGGGAUGGACUCGCGGCUUAUCAGCUUGUUGGUGGGGUAGUGGCUUACCAAGGCUUUGACGGGUAGCCGGCCUGAGAGGGUGACCGGCCACAUUGGGACUGAGAUACGGCCCAGACUCCUACGGGAGGCAGCAGUGGGGAAUAUUGCACAAUGGGCGGAAGCCUGAUGCAGCAACGCCGCGUGCGGGAUGACGGCCUUCGGGUUGUAAACCGCUUUCGCCUGUGACGAAGCGUGAGUGACGGUAAUGGGUAAAGAAGCACCGGCUAACUACGUGCCAGCAGCCGCGGUGAUACGUAGGGUGCGAGCGUUGUCCGGAUUUAUUGGGCGUAAAGGGCUCGUAGGUGGUUGAUCGCGUCGGAAGUGUAAUCUUGGGGCUUAACCCUGAGCGUGCUUUCGAUACGGGUUGACUUGAGGAAGGUAGGGGAGAAUGGAAUUCCUGGUGGAGCGGUGGAAUGCGCAGAUAUCAGGGGGAACACCAGUGGCGAAGGCGGUUCUCUGGGCCUUUCCUGACGCUGAGGAGCGAAAGCGUGGGGAGCGAACAGGCUUAGAUACCCUGGUAGUCCACGCUGUAAACGGUGGGUACUAGGUGUGGGGUCCAUUCCACGGGUUCCGUGCCGUAGCUAACGCUUUAAGUACCCCGCCUGGGGAGUACGGCCGCAAGGCUAAAACUCAAAGGAAUUGACGGGGCCCCGCACAAGCGGCGGAGCAUGCGGAUUAAUUCGAUGCAACGCGUAGAACCUUACCUGGGUUUGACAUGGAUCGGGAGUGCUCAGAGAUGGGUGUGCCUCUUUUGGGGUCGGUUCACAGGUGGUGCAUGGCUGUCGUCAGCUCGUGUCGUGAGAUGUUGGGUUAAGUCCCGCAACGAGCGCAACCCUUGUUCACUGUUGCCAGCACGUUAUGGUGGGGACUCAGUGGAGACCGCCGGGGUCAACUCGGAGGAAGGUGGGGAUGACGUCAAGUCGUCAUGCCCCUUAUGUCCAGGGCUUCACGCAUGCUACAAUGGCUGGUACAGAGAGUGGCGAGCCUGUGAGGGUGAGCGAAUCUCGGAAAGCCGGUCUCAGUUCGGAUUGGGGUCUGCAACUCGACCUCAUGAAGUCGGAGUCGCUAGUAAUCGCAGAUCAGCAACGCUGCGGUGAAUACGUUCCCGGGGCU
rnacentral:rRNA from 1 species